AAAUUGAAGAGUUUGAUCAUGGCUCAGAUUGAACGCUGGCGGCAGGCCUAACACAUGCAAGUCGAACGGUAACAGGAAGCAGCUUGCUGCUUUGCUGACGAGUGGCGGACGGGUGAGUAAUGUCUGGGAAACUGCCUGAUGGAGGGGGAUAACUACUGGAAACGGUGGCUAAUACCGCAUAACGUCGCAAGACCAAAGAGGGGGACCUUCGGGCCUCUUGCCAUCAGAUGUGCCCAGAUGGGAUUAGCUGGUUGGUGAGGUAACGGCUCACCAAGGCGACGAUCCCUAGCUGGUCUGAGAGGAUGACCAGCCACACUGGAACUGAGACACGGUCCAGACUCCUACGGGAGGCAGCAGUGGGGAAUA
rnacentral:rRNA from 1 species